rnacentral:rRNA from 1 species
AGAGUUUGAUCCUGGCUCAGGAUGAACGCUAGCGACAGGCUUAACACAUGCAAGUCGAGGGGCAGCGGGGGCGAAGCUUGCUUCGCCUGCCGGCGACCGGCGCACGGGUGAGUAACACGUAUGCGACCUGCCCCCCGCAGGGGGAUAACCGGGAGAAAUCCCGACUAAUACCGCGUAACGCCGCUGGGCUGCAUGGCCCGGCGGCCAAAGGAAGCGAUUCCGGCGGGGGAUGGGCAUGCGGCGCAUUAGCUAGUCGGCGGGGUAACGGCCCACCGAGGCGACGAUGCGUAGGGGUUCUGAGAGGAAGGUCCCCCACACUGGUACUGAGACACGGACCAGACUCCUACGGGAGGCAGCAGUGAGGAAUAUUGGUCAAUGGGCGGGAGCCUGAACCAGCCAAGUCGCGUGAGGGAAGACGGUCCUACGGAUUGUAAACCUCUUUUGCCGGGGAGCAACGGGGUCCUUGCGAGGGCCCGAUGAGAGUACCCGGAGAAAAAGCAUCGGCUAACUCCGUGCCAGCAGCCGCGGUAAUACGGAGGAUGCGAGCGUUAUCCGGAUUUAUUGGGUUUAAAGGGUGCGUAGGCGGGCUGUUAAGUCAGCGGUCAAAUGUCGGGGCUCAACCCCGGCCUGCCGUUGAAACUGGCGGCCUCGAGUGGGCGAGAAGUAUGCGGAAUGCGUGGUGUAGCGGUGAAAUGCAUAGAUAUCACGCAGAACUCCGAUUGCGAAGGCAGCAUACCGGCGCCCGACUGACGCUGAGGCACGAAAGCGUGGGUAUCGAACAGGAUUAGAUACCCUGGUAGUCCACGCAGUAAACGAUGAAUGCUAGCUGUCCGGUUCUACGGGACUGGGUGGCACAGCGAAAGCGUUAAGCAUUCCACCUGGGGAGUACGCCGGCAACGGUGAAACUCAAAGGAAUUGACGGGGGCCCGCACAAGCGGAGGAACAUGUGGUUUAAUUCGAUGAUACGCGAGGAACCUUACCCGGGCUCAAACGCCAAAGGACAGCCGUUGAAAGGCGGCCUCCCUCCGGGGUCUUUGGCGAGGUGCUGCAUGGUUGUCGUCAGCUCGUGCCGUGAGGUGUCGGCUUAAGUGCCAUAACGAGCGCAACCCCCAUCGACAGUUGCUAACGGGUAGAGCCGAGGACUCUGUCGAGACUGCCGGCGCAAGCUGCGAGGAAGGCGGGGAUGACGUCAAAUCAGCACGGCCCUUACGUCCGGGGCGACACACGUGUUACAAUGGCCGGUACAGCGGGAUGCCAGGGCGCGAGCCCGAGCGGAACCCGAAAACCGGUCUCAGUUCGGAUUGGAGUCUGCAACCCGACUCCAUGAAGCUGGAUUCGCUAGUAAUCGCGCAUCAGCCACGGCGCGGUGAAUACGUUCCCGGGCCUUGCACACACCGCCCGUCAAG